UCCCUGGGGGUUCAGUGGUUGGAACUCCAUGCUCCCAAUUUGGGGGACCCAGGUUCAAUCCCUGAUCGGGUAG
rnacentral:tRNA from 1 species